UACAGAGGUCCCGAGCGUUGUUCGGAUUCACUGGGCGUAAAGGGUGCGUAGGUGGUGAGGUAAGUCGGAUGUGAAAUCUCCGGGCUCAACCCGGAAAUGGCAUUGGAAACUACCUUGCUGGAGGAUUUGAGGGGGGAUUGGAAUACUUGGUGUAGCAGUGAAAUGCGUAGAUAUCAAGUGGAACACCAGUGGCGAAGGCGAAUCCCUGGAAAAUACCUGACACUGAGGCACGAAAGCUAGGGGAGCAAACAGGA
rnacentral:rRNA from 1 species